rnacentral:rRNA from 1 species
AUUGAACGCUGGCGGCAUGCUUUACACAUGCAAGUCGAACGGUAACAGGCCGCAAGGUGCUGACGAGUGGCGCACGGGUGAGUAAUGCAUCGGAACGUGCCCAGUCGUGGGGGAUAACUACUCGAAAGAGUAGCUAAUACCGCAUACGAUCUAUGGAUGAAAGCGGGGGACCGUAAGGCCUCGCGCGAUUGGAGCGACCGAUGUCAGAUUAGGUAGUUGGUGGGGUAAAGGCUCACCAAGCCAACGAUCUGUAGCUGGUCUGAGAGGACGACCAGCCACACUGGGACUGAGACACGGCCCAGACUCCUACGGGAGGCAGCAGUGGGGAAUUUUGGACAAUGGGCGCAAGCCUGAUCCAGCAAUGCCGCGUGCAGGAAGAAGGCCUUCGGGUUGUAAACUGCUUUUGUACGGAACGAAACGGCUCUGGUUAAUACCCGGGGCUAAUGACGGUACCGUAAGAAUAAGCACCGGCUAACUACGUG